AUUGAACGCUGGCGGCAGGCCUAACACAUGCAAGUCGAGCGAGCGGCGGACGGGUGAGUAAUGUAUGGGGACUGCCCGAUAGAGGGGGAUAACUACUGGAAACGGUAGCUAAUACCGCAUACUAUCGGAUAACCCAUAUGGGAUUAGCUAGUAGGUGAGGUAAUGGCUCACCUAGGCGACGAUCCCUAGCUGGUCUGAGAGGAUGAUCAGCCACACUGGGACUGAGACACGGCCCAGACUCCUACGGAGGCAGCAGUGGGGAAUAUUGCACAAUGGGCGAAAGCCUGAUGCAGCGACGCCGCGUGGGGGAUGAAGGCUUUCGGGUUGUAAACCUCUUUCGCUAUCGAACGGGUAGGUGGAGAAGAAGCGCCGGCUAACUACGUGCCAGCAGCCGCGGUAAUAC
rnacentral:rRNA from 1 species